CUCCAGACAUGCUGGCCGACAUUUUCAAGAUAGACAGUAACAGAAAGCGGCGAUUUGUUGCCAACCCUUUCCGGUCCCUUUUUCCCCACGCUUGCAGAGCGUGGCUCCCUUCGGCUCGUGGGGUUUUAGGGCGUCUAAGAACCACAGAACGAACUGCGGAAGGAAAGCAAACGGAAAAGAACAGACAACCAAUGGCAAACGCAAACGAGACUCCAGCUGUAAGGAAGGGACCCAGCAUUCAGCGCGGGCAGUCUGCAGAGACAGUUUUUCGGCUUCCCGGGGUCAGCGGGCGCUGGGGCAGAAGCCGCGGAGAACCCGAGACGGUGGGCUGUCUCUGAGGCGGACAGACCUUCUUCGGUGGAGGGAGCGGGGCUACUUGAAAGAGGAACAAAGAGGCAAAGUCGUGUUUUCUUCAGUUUCCAAGAGUCUUCUGUUGUCUCGCCUUGCUGGGGAGAAAGAGAUCUUUCCCUCUAGUCUAUGAAGAGCCCUUAUCUCUUGAUCCCGGCUUAGCCCUCAACCGUCGGUCGCUCUCGCGGAGGCGGGUUUCUUCUGAUUCUUUAUCAUUUCCUUGUCUUUGACCCCUGUCUUCCCUCCACAACGCUGUCUUGGGUGGCUGCGUUCGAUUCCAUGAGGCUUCUUCCCAGUCGCCGCGGCGCUCUGUCUCCCGUUUCGCGUGUGCGAUUUCGCUCUCUCUCGGUUCAGCAGAGACAGCUGUUACCAGGAAUCCUUCAUCUGGGUUCCCCUCUGAGGCCUCCACGAAAUUUCUCCCACAGAAAGUCGUGAGUUGCCUCGGACAGUCCUGAACCCCCCUUGUCCACCCGUACUGUGCGAAGAAAGUGGGGAAGCCCUGAGUGGGCUGGGUGAGGUUGAGUUUCGGUGAGAUAUCCGAUUCUUUGUGCAUCUUCUUUGCGUAGGGAAGUCCCAUUAUCCAACGUCGAACUUGUUCAGAAAUCUGUGCAAGGCUAC
rnacentral:lncRNA from 1 species